AUUGAACGCUGGCGGCAGGCUUAACACAUGCAAGUCGAGCGGGGGAAGGUAGCUUGCUACUGGACCUAGCGGCGGACGGGUGAGUAAUGCUUAGGAAUCUGCCUAUUAGUGGGGGACAACAUCUCGAAAGGGAUGCUAAUACCGCAUACGUCCUACGGGAGAAAGCAGGGGAUCUUCGGACCUCGCGCUAAUAGAUGAGCCUAAGUCGGAUUAGCUAGUUGGUGGGGUAAAGGCCUAUCAAGGCGACGAUCUGUAGCGGGUCUGAGAGGAUGAUCCGCCACACUGGGACUGAGACACGGCCCAGACUCCUACGGGAGGCAGCAGUGGGGAAUAUUGGACAAUGGGGGGAACCCUGAUCCAGCCAUGCCGCGUGUGUGAAGAAGGCCUUAUGGUUGUAAAGCACUUUAAGCGAGGAGGAGGCUACUUUAGUUAAUACCUAGAGAUAGUGGACGUUGCUCGCAGAAUAAGCACCGGCUAACUCUGUGCCAGCAGCCGCCGUAAAAC
rnacentral:rRNA from 1 species